rnacentral:lncRNA from 1 species
GUUUUUAUCCAAUUGCUGCCAGUUAGAAGGCUAAGCUCCACCCACUUGGUCUCCUAGCAAACCUACUCAGCCCAGGGGACAGGCACAGUUAGGCCUCACUUAGGCCUCUUCCACAGAUUAUCAGAUUUUAACUGGAUUAUAUGGCAGUGUAGACUCAAGGCCCUUCCACAUCUAUAUAACCCAUUUAGAAUCUUAUAUUAUCUGCUUUGAUUUCUCACCAACACCACCAGACAACGCCACAGCAACGCGUGGCCGGGCACAGCUAGUAGUAAAUAAAAACUAAACAGCUGGAUUGUUUAAGCAUCUUGUGGCUUUCUGCCAUGAACAUUGUUAGAAUCAAUUGUAACCUCUUUGUGAAAGGGUAGAGCAGAAGUGGACAAAUACAACUUCAAUGAAAUAUGACAAAAGUGUACAAAGAGGGGGUACUAGUCUCAUUGAUUUUCUUUCAAUGUUGAACAUUCCUCUAAAUUUCUCAUCUUAAUAUUAACAUUCAUUCGUAUCAAAUAUAGAUGAGAAGAAGACUCGUGUGCAUAACAUAUCUUCAGGAAUUGUGAUGCGAUAAGAAGGAACAAUACGAUGUAGUGUUUGGGUGUUAAACCCAAACUCUGGAAGACCAAGAUUCAAAUCCCUGCUCAGUCAUGGAAGCCCAUUAGCUAGCAUUGGGCAAUUCACACAUUCUCAGCAUUAGAAUACAGCAAUGAUAAACUUCAUCUGAAGAAAUCUUCCUGAGAAAACACUUUGACAGUGAUACCAAACCACAGGAAGUCGGAAUAGUAUGACACGUGACAUCCAGAUUCAAGGCACCAACAAAUUAUAGAAUUCACUGGCUGAUCUUGGGACAGUGUCUCCCUUUAAGCCGACUGCACUUCACAUAGUUGUUGUAAACAUAAGGGAGAGGAUUCACAUAUGCCAGCCUGCACUCCCUAGAGAAAGAAUGCAAUAUAAAUAUUAAUAAUACAUAGAUGAAUGUGCUUCUUGGAUCAUUGUAAGCUGGUCAUAUUUUAGCACUAUUUUCUUUCGUGUCAAGAGCAACUUGAGUAACUGCAAGUCACUUCUGGUGUGAGAGAAUUGACCGUCUGCAAGGACAUUGCCCAGGGGACACCUGGAUGUUUUCAUGUUUUAUCAUCCUUGUGGGAGGCUUCUCUCAUGUCCCCACAUG